UUACUCAGGGCUGGUAUGAAUGAGGGAGGUCAUUGAGGAGUUGCACGAGUUUGACACCAUGUACGACACACCAGUCAGUCUCCAUAACUGCUGUAUUGACUUCAUCUGUGACAAUUUGAGCCAGCUAUGCGAACCAGGAAUAACGGAGCUUGGCGAUCCCAAGCUUAUGUUCAAGGAGCAAGAUAUGUAUUUCCAACACCAUCUGUCGGAGAAACUUUUGGAAACUCUGUGCGAAAAAGGGAAACUGACAGAUGAGACUCUGACACUAUUUGAUCCAAAUGUUAUGAAUCUUAGACAGGUUUGUAUACGUGAUGCACAAUUGAGUACCAAAGGUUUACGGACGUUGAAACAGCAUAAAAUUUCUGACCUUGAAAUAACUGGUUUGAAAAGUGUUACAAUAAACGAUGUGAUAGGUUGUCUCGGAGAAUGGACUCUGACGAAUUUACGCUCACUCAAUGUUAGCAAUAGCACCUUUCUGAACAGUACGACAAAAUUCUGUGUUAUGGUAUCGCUGUCCAAGCUGCGUAACUUAGUCAGUCUGAACGUAAGUCGAACACAGUUCAACAAACAUGGCUUGGAAAUAAUCGCCGAGGAUCUGCCAAAGCUUGAAAAUCUGGAUAUCUCUGACACUCAUAUAGACGAUAUAUCAGCUUUACGAAAAUGCAAAGAUAGGUUAAGAUAUUUAUCAAUGUACUGUCUUCGAGCGGCGCAGACUUGUGAUAUGGUACCUGUGCUGUGUGAACUCACGAAACUUGUGCAUCUAGAUGUGUCUGAUGACUCAAGUGUACAAACUAUUCUCUCGACAAAUCCAUCGCCAAAGUUCAAAAUUUUCGACCUGUUGUCUCGUUCUGCUUGUCUACCUCACCUAACAUCUCUUGACAUGUCGGGAAAAGAUGGAGCAACAGAGGAGGUGCUACUAGAGUUUAUACAGAGUCACAAUCUGAGAUUCAUAGGCCUGUCCCUUACUCAAGCUUGCAAGUUCUGCAUAUUUAUGGACACAGACAGUUCAGUGUUCCAGCAGGAACUUGUGGUGACAGGAGAAGCCAGUGAAAAACAAGUAACAGAGUCAUUGAAACGUUACACAACACGGCAACUUUAUAUGCAGAAAUCUUUGUACACAUUGUUCAGUCUAACUCAAGAAAUGUAUAUACCUAGAGAAGACAUUAUCAAGUUAGUUCUACCGGCAAUGAAGUUACAUCCUCGCACACUGGGAGUACAGAUGGCAGCAACAGCUUGUCUAUAUAACCUGUCAAAAGCUGAACUUGGUCAGAAAAUACAUCCACGUUGUUUAAAAGAGAUUAUUGAACUGACGCUGUUGGCUAUGGAAAACUUUCCCAAUCAUCAACAGUUGCAAAAGAAUGCUCUGCUGACAUUAUGCAGUGACCGUAUAUUACAAGAUGUACAGUUUGACCGCUACCGGUGUGCUAGACUGGUUAUGGAAUGUUUAUGUUUGUUUGACGACCCUUCCAUGAACAGGAUGUCAGUAGCCAUAUGCUCUAUACUAGCAGCAAAAAUUUCUACUCAGAAAACCUCUCAGCUAGGUGCUAAGACGCGCUACAUGAAGAAAAUGCUGCAGCUUGUUCGUCAGAAGAUUGAAAACAACAUUGUUGACAUUACUCUGAAGUUCACACUCAGUGCCCUGUGGAAUCUAACAGAUGAAUCUCCUGCGACAUGUAAGGUGUUCCUGAGUGAAGGUGGACUUGACCUCUUCAUGACCACAUUACAAGUUGUCAGCACCAUGGAAGUGGACACGAGGGUACAAGUGGAAACUAAAAUCCUAGGCCUCUUGAACAAUAUUGCCGAGGUGAAGUCGUUUAGAAUGGCUCUGAUGAGGGAAGAUUUUCUCAUGAUUGCAAAGCGUCUGUUACAAGCAGAGCAGAUUGAUGUGAGUUAUUUUGCUGCUGGUAUAGUUGCUCAUCUAGCAAGUGACGGAGCUCAAAACUGGUUAAUUGCUGGUACAGACAGGGCGGACAUACUUCAGGAAUUGUAUAAUGUGGUGUUAAAAUGGAAGCAGCCCAGUGGAGAAAUGGUGGCAUACAGACUUAUCGAAUUUGGAACAGUCAUAUGGUGAAACUAUAGACUGGCGAUUUUUGUAAGGAGUCGUGCAAAAAAGUACACUGUCCAGACCUUCAAAUUCGGAGAGUCCUGUUCAUCAGUUAAACCAAACAUCCAUUGUCAUUCAGCACAUGUCAUUCAGCCCAUUUGUUCCAUUACUGAGGUCUAGAGAUAUGCCUGCAGUUCAGCUGUGGGCAGUGUGGGCUAUUCUGCAUGUCUGUACAAAGAAUGCGGAGAAAUACUGUGCAAUGUUACAGGAAGAGAAUGUAAAUGAG
rnacentral:misc_RNA from 1 species